rnacentral:rRNA from 1 species
GGUUAAGCGACUAAGCGUACACGGUGGAUGCCCUGGCAGUCAGAGGCGAUGAAGGGCGUGCUAAUCUGCGAUAAGCGCCGGUAAGGUGAUAUGAACCGUUAUAACCGGCGAUACCCGAAUGGGGAAACCCAGUGUGAUUCGUCACACUAUCAUUAACUGAAUCCAUAGGUUAAUGAGGCGAACCGGGGGAACUGAAACAUCUAAGUACCCCGAGGAAAAGAAAUCAACCGAGAUUCCCCCAGUAGCGGCGAGCGAACGGGGAGGAGCCCAGAGCCUGAAUCAGCAUGUGUGUUAGUGGAAGCGUCUGGAAAGGCGCGCGAUACAGGGUGACAGCCCCGUACACAAAAGCGCAUGUGCUGUGAGCUCGAUGAGUAGGGCGGGACACGUGGUAUCCUGUCUGAAUAUGGGGGGACCAUCCUCCAAGGCUAAAUACUCCUGACUGACCGAUAGUGAACCAGUACCGUGAGGGAAAGGCGAAAAGAACCCCGGCGAGGGGAGUGAAAAAGAACCUGAAACCGUGUACGUACAAGCAGUGGGAGCCCCACCACCAAAGCGUUUCGCUUUGUGUGGUGCACAAAGAAGCGUAACGACAGCACUGAAUGACGGUUAACGGAGCGCAAGCGACGUUCAACAUACAAAGUCAAGCAGUGGAGCGCUUUGGGGUGGGGUGACUGCGUACCUUUUGUAUAAUGGGUCAGCGACUUAUAUUCUGUAGCAAGGUUAACCGAAUAGGGGAGCCGGAGGGAAACCGAGUCUUAAUUGGGCGUUAAGUUGCAGGGUAUAGACCCGAAACCCGGUGAUCUAGCCAUGGGCAGGUUGAAGGUUGGGUAACACUAACUGGAGGACCGAACCGACUAAUGUUGAAAAAUUAGCGGAUGACCUGUGGCUGGGGGUGAAAGGCCAAUCAAACCGGGAGAUAGCUGGUUCUCCCCGAAAGCUAUUUAGGUAGCGCCUCGUGAAUUCAUCUCCGGGGGUAGAGCACUGUUUCGGCUAGGGGGCCAUCCCGGCUUACCAACCCGAUGCAAACUGCGAAUACCGGAGAAUGUUAUCACGGGAGACACACGGCGGGUGCUAACGUCCGUCGUGAAGAGGGAAACAACCCAGACCGCCAGCUAAGGUCCCAAAGUCAUGGUUAAGUGGGAAACGAUGUGGGAAGGCCCAGACAGCCAGGAUGUUGGCUUAGAAGCAGCCAUCAUUUAAAGAAAGCGUAAUAGCUCACUGGUCGAGUCGGCCUGCGCGGAAGAUGUAACGGGGCUAAACCAUGCACCGAAGCUGCGGCAGCGACGCUUAUGCGUUGUUGGGUAGGGGAGCGUUCUGUAAGCCUGUGAAGGUGGCCUGUGAGGGUUGCUGGAGGUAUCAGAAGUGCGAAUGCUGACAUAAGUAACGAUAAAGCGGGUGAAAAGCCCGCUCGCCGGAAGACCAAGGGUUCCUGUCCAACGUUAAUCGGGGCAGGGUGAGUCGACCCCUAAGGCGAGGCCGAAAGGCGUAGUCGAUGGGAAACGGGUUAAUAUUCCCGUACUUGGUGUUACUGCGAAGGGGGGACGGAGAAGGCUAUGUUGGCCGGGCGACGGUUGUCCCGGUUUAAGCGUGUAGGUGUGUGUUCCAGGUAAAUCCGGUUCACUUUAACACUGAGGCGUGACGACGAGGCACUACGGUGCUGAAGCAACAAAUGCCCUGCUUCCAGGAAAAGCCUCUAAGCAUCAGGUAACAUCAAAUCGUACCCCAAACCGACACAGGUGGUCAGGUAGAGAAUACCAAGGCGCUUGAGAGAACUCGGGUGAAGGAACUAGGCAAAAUGGUGCCGUAACUUCGGGAGAAGGCACGCUGACACGUAGGUGAAGUGAUUUACUCAUGGAGCUGAAGUCAGUCGAAGAUACCAGCUGGCUGCAACUGUUUAUUAAAAACACAGCACUGUGCAAACACGAAAGUGGACGUAUACGGUGUGACGCCUGCCCGGUGCCGGAAGGUUAAUUGAUGGGGUCAGCGCAAGCGAAGCUCCUGAUCGAAGCCCCGGUAAACGGCGGCCGUAACUAUAACGGUCCUAAGGUAGCGAAAUUCCUUGUCGGGUAAGUUCCGACCUGCACGAAUGGCGUAAUGAUGGCCAGGCUGUCUCCACCCGAGACUCAGUGAAAUUGAACUCGCUGUGAAGAUGCAGUGUACCCGCGGCAAGACGGAAAGACCCCGUGAACCUUUACUAUAGCUUGACACUGAACAUUGAGCCUUGAUGUGUAGGAUAGGUGGGAGGCUUUGAAGCGUGGACGCCAGUCUGCGUGGAGCCGACCUUGAAAUACCACCCUUUAAUGUUUGAUGUUCUAACGUGGACCCGUAAUCCGGGUUGCGGACAGUGUCUGGUGGGUAGUUUGACUGGGGCGGUCUCCUCCUAAAGAGUAACGGAGGAGCACGAAGGUUGGCUAAUCCUGGUCGGACAUCAGGAGGUUAGUGCAAUGGCAUAAGCCAGCUUGACUGCGAGCGUGACGGCGCGAGCAGGUGCGAAAGCAGGUCAUAGUGAUCCGGUGGUUCUGAAUGGAAGGGCCAUCGCUCAACGGAUAAAAGGUACUCCGGGGAUAACAGGCUGAUACCGCCCAAGAGUUCAUAUCGACGGCGGUGUUUGGCACCUCGAUGUCGGCUCAUCACAUCCUGGGGCUGAAGUAGGUCCCAAGGGUAUGGCUGUUCGCCAUUUAAAGUGGUACGCGAGCUGGGUUUAGAACGUCGUGAGACAGUUCGGUCCCUAUCUGCCGUGGGCGCUGGAGAACUGAGGGGGGCUGCUCCUAGUACGAGAGGACCGGAGUGGACGCAUCACUGGUGUUCGGGUUGUCAUGCCAAUGGCACUGCCCGGUAGCUAAAUGCGGAAGAGAUAAGUGCUGAAAGCAUCUAAGCACGAAACUUGCCCCGAGAUGAGUUCUCCCUGAGACUUAGAGUCUCCUGAAGGAACGUUGAAGACGACGACGUUGAUAGGCCGGGUGUGUAAGCGCAGCGAUGCGUUGAGCUAACCGGUACUAAUGAACCGUGAGGCUUAACCUU